GAAUUCCAAGGACACGUACUUUAUUCCGUACUCACCCAUACGCAUGAUAAAAUGGCUUUUUAUUUUUAUUUAAGAACGGCACUAAUGUGCCGUGCCCAUUGCACUACAUAACAUAAAAGUUCCAUCGACGGUGGUCUAAGCAUCCAUUACUUUUAUUUAAGAACAGCACUAAUGUGCCAUGCCCAUUGCACUAAAUAACAUAAAACACUGUAUGAAGAUACUCUGCCAUCCAAACGGGGAGCAGCCCCUGGCGCUGGAUCCAAACCGGGUGUGCGCGACCCCAGUGCAGCCGGCCUGGUUGUACAUCGCAGCGGUCUGCCCGGUGUAGGUGAAGACGUAGCCGCCACGGCGAUUAAUGUUUGAACAACCGCACCGGUUUAGCUGCUCCGAAUUGCCGCUGCACCCGGGUCCAGCAUACGCCGUGAAACUGCUCGCAUGUGCAUGGUUGCUUCCUAGCACAAGCAGUGCCAUGACCA